rnacentral:lncRNA from 1 species
ACGGCAGAGCUGCGUCACGGCCCGCGUCAACGCCUGCCCUCGUCAAAGCCUGCCCUCGCGGCCCUCGGCUCCGCAGGGAGGGGGGAGGGACCCGCUCCGAACUACAGCUCCCAUCACCGCCGCCGCGAUGGCCCCGCGGAGCUGGGAGCCCCCGAUCGCGGCCCGGCGGAGGCUCGGGCGCCUCGCAGCGCGGCGGGUGCAGCGCAGAGCAUUGCAACCCCCCCCAGAGCCCUGCCGCGCCGCCGGGGCUAAAAAUAUUCCCCGCAGGUAGCAACGGCGUGCGAUUGGCUGCCUGCCCGCCGCGCCGCCUCCCCAUUGGUCACUCGGUAUCGAGGAGGACGACGUCAAACGCCCGUUUGAAGGGAAAAUGUCCCGGGGGGGCGCGGGGCGCUGCCCUCAGAGCGGCUGGGGCUGCGCGGAGACUUCGUGCCUUUUGGUGUUUGUUUUAUCUCCUCCUGCCCCGUGUUUGUAUAAUAAUAAAGCAUUUCGGCACCACCGCCACACGGGACCCGGGAGAGGUUGGGAAAUGUCGGAAGGAGUGUCGGCCCCGAGGCCUCCCUGCGAAACGCGGCUUUGCUCGGGUGUAUCGGCGGGGAUGGCAGCACUGCAAACAACGUGAAAAUCCCAAUUCGGGCUCCAAAUAGUCACUGCCUCCUAUUUAUUUAUUUUUUAUUCAAUAUAUUAUCUCACCGUGUGCUGUCAGAGACAAUUGGGUCGUACGUCACCGCUGUGCAGCCCAAAUCGCGAGCACUGCACCGCUGCGGGCGUUGUGACCCGGAGGUGGCUGUGGAGCUGCCGGGACCGGCGGGUGAGCGCUGCUCCCACUGGGCUGUGGGCACGGCUGCUGCGGUGGAGGCCUCGGGAUGGAAAAGGCAAACCCUGGCUUUUAAAAUGAGAACGUAGCAACCUGGUGGGCACGGCAAACAGCGGGCAGGGGGCAGAUAAGAUCUGCUGGCUCAGCCUUAGUUCACCUGUAACUGCUCUGCGCACGCUGAGGCCGCAGCAGGAUUCCCAUUGAAGUGGGAGCGCUGUGCUGCCUCAGAGGUCGGUGUUUGCAGGUGGGAUUUGGGGAGCGGCCUCACAAAGAGAAUAACCGCACUGCUGAAACCUGAGCGGAGGCUGAAUGGCUUUAACGCGAGCGUUAGGAGCUGAGGUCAAUAUACAGAGCUGAUUCUUGUGUAAUCAGGACUGCUGUGAGACUCUGUAAGGCUGGAGAUGUGCUCUCCUGCGGCUCACGUGAAGGAAGCUCCUGAUGCGGUCGGUGCUCAAAUUGCGUGCUGCUGGGAAACCCCAAUGCUGGGGAUGUGGGACUGCCCUGGGAAUGAGGCUGCAGGCCGGCAGGAAUCAAACCCGCUUCUGGGGCUCCAAAGAAACUUUCAGUUUAUCCCUUCUUGUCUGAAAAGCGAAUUCUGACUUUUAACCUGCAGAGCACACAUGAAAAAUAGGUGGCCAAACUGUGGUAGUGGUAAAUUAUCAGCACUUAUAACGGAGUCUAAUCCAGGAUCAGCACUAUUCUUAAAACCAAAACUGGCUUUCUGGUGCACGAAGGGGUGAGAAUGGGGCCUGCAAAGUGUUCAGGCCCUUUGAUUAAUACUCAGCAAUAGCGGAAGGUCUGCCUCUCCCUGCUAGAAAAGUCCUUAAAAAUGCAAUCAAUACAAAAUAACAGUUCCUGCAGCAAAGUUUUACUCAGGUUGCCAAUUCUGUUCAACUGGAAGAUUCAUCGUAAAUAUAUAUAUAUAUAUUUUUUUUUUUCCUGGAAGGCAUUGAUGCUUUCUCUCCCCAGCAGAACAAAUCAGCAGAAGUAUUUCAGAGCAUUGCAGGGAGCCAAGAGGCAGAUUAGGAGACUUUUAACCCAUCUUACACUGGAAGGAGUUUGAUCUGAGAGCUCUUUCUUCACAGCUGUACCCUGCGGGGGCUGUUCGACGUCAGCACCAGAAGCUGAGCUGCAAUUUCUACAGUCUACAUCUCUGCAAUCUAAUCUGGAGAGCCAGAUCCUUAAAGUAAUUGAUAGCACCCUUAAAACCUGAACCAAUGUGAUGUACCGAUCAAUUUAAAAUACCGCUUAUUAAAGGAACUUAAAAUAUCCAGGAAUUUUUAAAUAACCUACAUCAACAUAGAAUGUAAGAGAAGCAGCAAGCACGGCUCAGGAUUCUCAUCACCCAUCUUUGUCCUUUUCACCCUUUCUGUUACGUGAAUGUUGUUGACCCCUGCAGAAUAUGGGUAUAAAGCUUUGUAACAUAUGUUCCUGAAAACAGUACAACACAAUUCUCCUUUUAGCAUGGGAGCCCAGGCUUCGGUUUUAAAAAGGUGGGAGGCUUUUCCCCUUGCAUUCAUCCCUCUUUAGCCCAUUUUUGUCCAUUUGCUGACUUUAAUGCGUGUCCCAAUUCCCCAUCAUCUAUCAGCAUAAGCACCCAAUCCUGACUGGUCUCCAGUAUUUAUCUCCUCUCAGUAAUUUGGAAAUGUAGUGUAGAUUCUCUCACAUUUCCCUUUACCAACCAGAGCAGUGAUUUCCCCAUUAAUGCCUAUGAUGGCACAUACACAUAUCAGACAGUGCCUGGCCUCGGGAGCUCUCUGACCAGAAGGAUUUUCCAGAUGGGAACCACAGAAUUAGCUUGGCCAUAACAUUUUGGUGGAGUAAAGAGUAGUCCAGAAAAGAACUCAGCCAAAACUGAGCAGUUCAUGGGGAACUGUUCCAGGUCAUCUUCAAGAGAGCCCUGAGCCCUCCCUGCUCUCCAGUGCAGUUACCCCUGGUCAGCAGCAGCUGGCUUUGGGUGCCAAGCAAAGUCCACACGUGGAUGUGUGAGUGAUAGCUUGUGUUUGCAGACUCUACCCCCAGGGCCAACAGGGACUGGCUUCCAGCUGCUGCCUGGCCCCGAGCUGCGCCCAGACCUGAUCUCCUGCAGUGCAGAGGGUUGCAGCAUUCAGAGAAAUCGGAUUUGUACGGUGGAACGGUGGGAGCUGGCAGGAAGCAGGCCUGGCAGUUGGAUAAAUAAGUGUCUAUCAGUCUUGUAUUAUUAAUCUUGCCACAGAGGGGGAGAAUGAGCCUUUGAAAUGGAAGGAGGGCAGUAUUAUGGUAAAAGGAGGGUCAGAACAGGGGGAAAGAGGGGCCAGGACUGCAAGAGCAUCCCAGCGUCACUGAGGGAUGCUGCAUCCCACUACAGCCACGUAUCCUCUCCUGGAAGCCACAAACACAGGGCUACGAAUUCCCACAAAACACACUGAGUUAGGCUGCCCAGCUGGGUGUGCAGCCAUACGCCCACAACAGAACAUCCUUUGCUUUAAACUGUAUGAUGUUGUUGGCUCUGCCAUGCCAAGACAUUAAAAACCUGGCUAUCGAGAGCUGGAGCUCAUAUGCCAAGGGUGAAGAAGCGAGAUAUGGCUACCUCCUGCCUUGUGCCAUCAGUACACUUUGACAAAAGAAACUUCUAAGCUGGGGCUUUGUUAGAUGUUAGUGAUUCUUC